CUGACACAACAUGAAGGUUGGUGAUCUUAUGAAUUCUGCUAUUAUGGGAAAAUCCGAGAGGUUCAUGUAGAGAAUGAGAAGGUUAUCCAAGAGUAUGUUCUAGGUGGAUAUGACCCUGAUGCAACCGAUGCUUACCAUGACAAUCACACCUCCGAGUCUGCUGAUGAGGAUCACGUGAAAGAUACUUGUAAGAGAAAGCACCUGGGAUAUACUAAGCAGAGUGGUGC